rnacentral:lncRNA from 1 species
CCAACAUUUGUUAUUUAUAGUCUUUUGAUAAUAGCUGUCCUACCAGGUGUGAGGGGAUAUCUCAUUGUGAUUUUGAUUUGCAUUUCCAUAGCGAUUAGUGAUGUUGAACAUAUUUUCUUGUGCCUGUUGACCAUUCAUAUAUCUUUGGAAAAAUGUCUCUUAAGGUCCUUUUGCCAAUUUAACAAUUUUUUCCAUUUUUUAAAAAGAAAUAAUUGGCAUAUGUCACUGUUAAAGUUUAAGGUGUACAACAUAAUGAUUUGAUUUCCAUAUAUUGUGAAAUUGUUACAACAAUAUGUUUAGUUAAUAUCUAUCAUCUCAUAUAGGUACAAUAGAAAGAAAAUAAAAAAAACUAUCUCCUUGUGGUGAGAACUCUUAGGAUCUACUCUCUUAACUUUCCUAUAUAACAUAGAGCAGCGUUAGCUAUAAUCAUCAUGUUGUACAUUAUAUCCCUAGUACAUAAUUUAUCUUAUAACUGGAAGUUUAUACCUUUUAAGGACCUUCCUCCUGUUUCCCCUCCCCCUCCUCUAUGCCUCUCAUGCCACAAAUCUGAUCAAUUUUUCUGAGUUUGGUGAGGGGUUUUGCUUAUUUGAUUUUUGGUUUUAAAUUCCACAAGUAAAGGAAGUUAUACAGCAUUUGUCUUUCUCUAACUUACUUCACUUAGCAUAAAGCCUUCAAGGUCCAUCUGUGGUUACUGCAAAUGGUAGGAUUUCCUCAUUUAUAUGGCUGAAUAUUAUUCCAUUGUGUAUAUAUACCACAACUUCUUUAUCCUUUCAUCCAUUGAUGGGUAUUUAGGUUUUUUUCCAUGUCUUUUUGCCUAUUUUUAAAUUAAGUUAUUUUGUUUUUUUUACAUUGAGUUGUAUGAGUUCCUUGUAUAUUUUGGAUUUUAAACCCUUAUCAGAUACAUAGUUUACAAAUAUUUUCUCCCAAUCUGUAGCUUGCCUUCUCAUUUUGUUAGUUGUUUCUUUUGCUAAGCAGAAGCUUUUAUUUUGAGGUAGUCCCACUUUUUAAUUUUUGCUUUUUUGCCUUUUUUUGGUAUUAAAUCCAAAAACUCAUUCUUAAGACCCAUGUGAAGGAGGUUACUCCCUGUGUUUUCUUUUAGGAGUUUUAUAGUUUUGGGUAUUGUAUUCAAGUCUUUUUGAAUUGAUUUAUAUAUAUGGUGUGAGUUCAGGGUCCAGUUUCAUUACUUUGUAUGACUCUUUAAUUAGAUAAGAUUCACAUACAGUGAAAUACACAAAUUUUAGGAGUACCAUUUAAUGAGCUUACAGAUGUAUAUACCCAUGCAACCCAAGCCCCAUUGAGAUAUACACAUUGCUUCCAAAAAUUCUUACUGCAUAUUGUUUUAUGGUGCACUCUUUUUGCAGUUAAAACCAUAUUGUGAUUGUCAUUUGUUGCUAAUACAGAUUUUUGUUACUCUUUUUCAUUGUAAAUGUAAAAUAUAUCCAUGCUGAAAGUUCAAAUAUCUUUUCUUCUCAAGUAGUAAGGUCAGAUAAACAAUAAUGCCCUGCACCUUGGUUUUCCUUUUAUCACAUUAUACUAUAUCUUAGGUUCUUUCCAUUCUAGUAUAUAGUGAGCUACUAGAUUCUUUGGACAGAUACAUAACAUUCAAUAAUAUGGAUUUAACAUAAUUUAUGGAAUCAUCUCCCUAUCGAUGAAUACUUGAGUUGUCCAGUUUUUUCACUCUGGCACACAAGGCUAUGAUGAAAAACUGUGCAGAUAUUUAUCUUUACAUUUGUUUUAUUAUAUCCUUAGGACAGAAUUCCACAAAUAGGAUAAGGGGACUUUUAGUCAGAGUUCACUUCCACACACAUUCUGCAUACCCAGAAAGCAGUGUGUAUGAUUUCUAUUAUUUAAAAUGUGUGUUUUCCAGAGCUGGCAAGAUAAAGCUUAUAUUCUAAAACAAGGGAGGGCAAUUAGGGAUCAAAGAAUGGAAAAUCAAUCUGAGGCUUCUGGGAUAGGAAUCCUAGUAUCACAAAGCCCAGGGACAAAGGGAACUGGGACAAUUUUUAUACUACUACUACUAGUAGUAGUAGUAAAACCUGAAAACAAUUUCAUCAUCUCCAUAAAGGAAAAAAAGGGAAAGGGUCAUAUUUAAUUAUCCAGGGAAUUUAUAAAUGCUAGAAAUCUAGAGCAAUGGUUCUCAAACUUGAAUUCAUAACAGAAUUACCUACAGGAUUUGUUAAAACCCAGAUUGCUAGGCCCUACCCACAGUGUUUCUGAUUCAUCAGGUCUUUGGUAGGACCUAAAAAUUUGAGUUUCUAACAAGUUUUCAGGAGCUGAUGCUUCUAGUGCAGGUCAUACUGAAAAACACUUAUCUGGAGAAGGCUGGAAAGAUAAUUUUCACAUUUUAGCCUAUAUUGGCAAAAAUAUUAUUCUAAUUUUCACUUCAUCCACAUGGACAAAUUCGUGCAGAUAGAGAUCUAGUGAUAACUACUUCUUUCAACUUUUGUUUGGAUAUCUUUUUUCUAUGUGUUAUUGAAGCCAUGCCAAUUUCCCUUUAAUUUCUGCUCCCUUAAUGUUCCAUAUCUCUCAAUCUCCAUUAUAGGACUGAUAUUAGAAAUUUAAAAUUUAAUGAAAAACAUCCUUAGUAACUGAAUUAUAAGGUGACAAUAUCUGAAAUACAGGUACAGAUCUUUGUCACAUAUGCCUACAUAAAGCCUAUCUAGAGAAAAUGGCACAUAUUUAAUAUGUGUACUGGAAUAUUGAAUUAACUACUUUUCUCUAGAUGGAAUGUGUAUUAAUUCUGUUAAUUUAUAAGACUACAUGCUAAAAUCAAAACAAUGCUAAAUCAGAAAAAGUGAACUAUAAGUAUGAGUGCUUGUGUAUGCAUGCACAUAGUACUCCUCAGGGCUAUUUAAAUUUUGAGACACAAAAUUUACUAGUCUUUCAGGAAGACCACCACAUAUGCCACCUCCAUAUGUCACGAAAUUUCUUGUAAAGAAAAAAAAAUAUGUAUAUAAAAUGAAUAUAAGAUUAAAUGCCUCAUUCUGUUAUGUAUCUUAUUUUUAUAUGAUUGUUAUCAAGUAAAACUAAACUUCACUUCUAUAUAAAAAGAUUAGCCAAAGUACUAUCAGAUUGUGCAGCAGCUCAAAAGCACUUAUGUUUCCAAUAAACAUUUGCUGAACACUCACUGUGUGCUAUUCAGUAGGUGCUAGGAGUACAAAGAGACAAGAGAUUCUGCCAUGAAGUAGUUCACAGUUUAGUAGGGGAACAGAUGUUAAUAAAUAACUACAAGACUAUGUGAGAAGGCCUAUCAUAAAGGCAUGAAGAAAAUACUGUGGAAUCUAAAGGAAUAAGCUGCUGUAUUUUUCUUGAGAAAUCAAUAAGGUCUUCAUAAUGAUUGUGACAUUUGAGUUGGAUCUUGAAGGUGUUACCUGGCACAAAAGAAAAGAAGGCCAUUUCAGGCCAAGGGACUUGUACACAGGCAGAAGUUUGGAGGUAUGAAAGAGCUUAGUGUGCUCAGGCAAGAGCAAUAAAUUUGAUGAGUCUAGGUUCUAGGUGAUAGGGAUGG